rnacentral:rRNA from 1 species
UACGGGGGGGGCAAGCGUUGUUCGGAAUUACUGGGCGUAAAGGGCUCGUAGGCGGCCAACUAAGUCCGACGUGAAAUCCCAAGGCUUAACCUUGGAACUGCGUCGGAUACUGGAUGGCUUGAAUUCGGGAGAGGGAUGCAGAAUUCCAGGUGUAGCGGUGAAAUGCGUAGAUAUCUGGAGGAAUACCGGUGGCGAAGGCGGCAUCCUGGACCGACAUUGACGCUGAGGAGCGAAAGCGUGGGGAGCGAACAGG